rnacentral:tRNA from 1 species
AGGGUCGUAGCGCAGAGGUCGUCGCGCCAUCCUUGCAGGGGGGAAGACGCCGGUUCGAAUCCGGUCGGCUCUC